CCUUCGUGAAGCCUCCGUCGCUCGGUCUUUCCUCCCCCUGGCCCCUGCUCGCUAGCGCAGUCCACCCCUCCGCCACCGGCGUUCCUCGCUCUCUCGCCGCCACUCCACGCGUUCUCUGCCGACUGCUAGAUCCGGUGGCUCUCUCUCGAAUCCGGUGGUUGGUGCCCGGCAGACCCACCCACCUCCUCGACGGUACAUUGAGGCAGUCCUUGCGGGCGCCGAGGAGGCGCCCGAGCUCGUGGAGGUCGAGUUCGUGGAGCCCGAGGGGGAGGCCGUCGAGGAAGCUAAGGAUGAGGUGAUUGAGGAGGAAGCAGCAAUCACUGAGGCUAUCGAGGCAUAGCUCGCGGCCGCUGGCACCGGGAAGGACGCUGACAUCUUCGCCUUUGUCAUGAUUGGUUCGAGGCAAUACAUUGUGAUCGCAGGCCGGUAUAUAUACACAGAGGUUGAAAGGUGCCAAUGUCAAUGAUCAGGUUGCAUCUUUCACCGGGGAGAAGCAGGCGGUGGAGAAGUACAAGUCGCUAAAGAGUGUGUACAGCUCCGGCGUGUGGGAGUGCCUUACCACCGGCGUUGGCAUUGGCACAGUCAUGGUGCUCCUAUUCUGUGGCUACUCCCUGGGGAUAUGGUACGGAGCCAAGCUCAUCGUGGAGAAGGGUUACACUGGCGCCGAGUCAUGAAUGUGAUCCUCAUAGUGGUCACUGGCUCACUGUAAAUUUUUCUUCCCACUUUCGGUCCUGCAUUUCUAAUCAAUUCAGUUGCAGUAAUCUCAAUUGUCAAGCAGUAUCAUGACUCAUUCAGUCACAAAAUCUAAGCAGCAAGUAAAAUGUUUCUCUUUCAUGUUCAGUAACCAUACAUGCUUUACCCCAGUCAAAAGCUAUGUCUCCUAUUUGCUAGAUUUUAUUAUAUAGCCUAAUGGUGUUAAUUCUCAAGCCAAUUUGUUGCACAUUUGAUUUUGGAUUGAAAUUAGGAACUAGAGUAUCUUUUCAUACAUAGUUUCCGAAAAUUAGGAAUGAUUCAUUGUAAGGGACAAUAAACGGUUUCACCAUUUUAAGGAUUGUCAAGUGCUCUUGUGGUGUCUAUUGGUGAACAUGAGUCCUGCCAUCUGAAUGUGGUCAGACACUCAAAUUGGCUUCUCAUGCUUUGAAUGCAUAAUCAGUAUAACUUUUCAGCCUUAAAUAUUAUGUGUAACAGAUGCUUAAAGUCCUUAAAAUUGGAAGGAUGCACAAGUCUGUAUGCUACCAUCUAUUCAGCAAUUGAUUUCAAGUGGAGUAAGCCCAAUGUUGUACAGGUUAAUCCACAUACAUUACCAAGGGCAUGUUUGGAUAUGGGCCAUUUGGAUCCAAAUCCUUAGAAUCUGGUUCAAAUUUGAUUAAAAUACAGAAAGAAAAAUACUACACUAACCCUUUUAUUCAAACACCUCCUAAAAGUUUAUCUAAUCUCUAUGUCUAUUUAGACCACCCUAAUUGGCUAAUAUUGCUGCGCAGUUUUAUAAAUUUCUUUUAGACAGUCCCAUGAUUUCAUUUACUCUGACUCACAUGACUGGUAUCUGACUGUAGUGUAAUUGGCUAACCUUUGACUCUAAUAUAAGCAAUUGAGUCAAAUACCCAGCUGGACAGGCCACUAGGAUGCAAAAGAUACCAAAUAUUCUAAUGAUGCGCAACACGUACGUUACUCCUGUCUCUGGAUUUCCUUAAUUCUAAUGAUUGAUUUCCUGUACAUAUCUUAUCCUGAUCUAUACUGUUGUCAAACUACUAAUCUAUGUUGUUGUCAAAUUACCUAGGAUGAAGUCUAUAUGGCAAUAAAGUUCCUCCGCAAUAUAAAUGAGGACUUUGAACUACUUAUGUUUGCUUAAUUAUCUAUGUAUGUAAUAUGAAUGAAAAUUUCAAAGCUACUUAUAUCCACUUAAUUAUCUAUGUCUAUGUAUUGCACAAGCAGAAGCAGAAGCUCUAGACUGCCGCCAUGGACACAUACCAUUACUCAAAUAUUACGCUUCUCCAAUUCUAAAUUCCUUCGCACAGUUCUUAAGUUGAUUUCUAAUCCAAUUAAUCUGAAUGAUGGUCCUACUACCUCGGCGACGGGCCACACGUCGCGCGCGUUAGUUUCUAGUAAUAUCCAUACAAGGCAGCCCACUGACUGCAAUUAAUCAAUGUUUCUAAAGCUUAAUCCUCACGCUUCCAUCUCAUCGCAAAAUCCCAGCCUUUGGAUCGUCAUGCUUCCCACAGAUCAGAUCAUCCAUUGUUGUUCUGGUCACGUCCCGUGCUCCUUACACAUGGUCCCUCACGUGCCCACCUGAGUCAUGGCCAAUUCCCGUCGGGUGUCGUCGCUCCCAGACCCAAUGGAUGGAAGUCGCUGCACGACUCGCCCCACCUACGGAUCGGCGUCGCUCGACAUCCUCCUCGACCGUCUCACCUCCUUCCCAGAUUGCAGCACCAGGCAAGCCGCUCUACACCGCAUUCACUCCCUUUCCUCUUCACCUUCCGAGUCCCCUUGUCUCCUUCUGCAGGUUAAUUACCUCUGCCGACGGCUUUGUCUUCCUACACUGUCCGUCAUCCGCCUCUACCUUCACCAUGCACCAACUUGGCCAAAAAGCUUUGCGGCAAGGGCGCCGUUGGGGUUGCCCCAAAGGUUAGGUCCAGACCGUCCCGAUCUCGCAGCCAGGGGCGAUGCUAAGUUAUGUUGCACAUGCACCACGUGAAGUGGUGCACGGUUCUGGCUCUAGCUUAGCCACUGCUCGCAGCCAAGCCAUGCUACCGGUCUCCAUCCUCAUAGAAGGCAGCAAUUUUAUUUGUUUACUCAACCGCUAAAACCCCAAACUCCUCUACAGCAACUAUACAGCAGCCAUUUGUUCUACAGUUUGGGAUGGAUGAUUACAUUCAUAAUGGAGUUACACAUGUUUCUUUGUGAGAUUGCGCUGAAUAAAAUCAGAUUGAACUGAUCCAGAUAGAAUUUCUCAGGAAACAACUUUGCUUACAGACGGCUAAUUGGCAAUCCAACGUGACAACCAGCCUGACAACAAAUCAAGGCGGUUGUUUUCGGACGAUGUCGUGGCGCCAUGAGUUGGCCACACGGUCCUUGGCUAGCGGUAGCCCUCCAUGGUGAAGCACUGAGACAGACGUACGAUGGUGCCCACCUUCAAGACGACGCAACCACCGAUACAUGGCGAUAGGCUGCGUGCCUCCCUCACAAGGCCACUAGCCCCAUUAAGGCGACGCCCCUUCAUGGCGCCGGCUACAUGGCCUCACUCAGACGACGCAUCCUGCGGCGCUAGCCAGAGUCACAACCUCAUUCCAACAGAUCAGAUCAAACUGGGUUGUAGCCCUAGCAGACGCUCCCCUCAUGACGACAGCCACUCCUCUCCCAACGGUGGCUACUCCCCUCCUAACUGUGGCCGAGCACUCUCCCAACAGUGGCUGCUCCCUUCCUGACAGCCAAAGGCUUAAUCGGCUCCAUUGCCCCUUGCCUGGUGGCACACCGACUAGCAACGCACGACGCAGAAAUUGGUGGUGGCCCUACCCUAUGGUGGCAUUUCCUAGCACGGCCAGAUCUGGCGAGGACUAGAUCUACACGUCGAUCGGGCGCACAACCCUAGAGGCAAGAUGGCCUAGCCCUAGAGGCAAUAGUGGUGGAGAGGGGGCCUUGGUUGGACAAAGGCAACCCUAACCCCCCUUUUAUACUAGCCUGCCUAAAUGGGCUGAAUGGGUCCCAACCCCAUCAUGCGAUUUAUCAGGCCGCUGGCUUCUCAAAAGCCUUUGGAU